AGUGAACGCUGGCGGUAGGCCUAACACAUGCAAGUCGAACGGCAGCACAGUAAGAGCUUGCUCUUACGGGUGGCGAGUGGCGGACGGGUGAGGAAUACAUCGGAAUCUACUUUUUCGUGGGGGAUAACGUAGGGAAACUUACGCUAAUACCGCAUACGACCUACGGGUGAAAGCAGGGGAUCUUCGGACCUUGCGCGAUUGAAUGAGCCGAUGUCGGAUUAGUUAGUUGGCGGGGUAAAGGCCCACCAAGGCGACGAUCCGUAGCUGGUCUGAGAGGAUGAUCAGCCACACUGGAACUGAGACACGGUCCAGACUCCUACGGGAGGCAGCAGUGGGGAAUAUUGGACAAUGGGCGCAAGCCUGAUCCAGCCAUACCGCGUGGGUGAAGAAGGCCUUCGGGUUGUAAAGCCCUUUUGUUGGGAAAGAAAAGCAGCAGGUUAAUACCCCGCUGUUCUGACGGUACCCAAAGAAUAAGCACGGGCUAACUUCGUG
rnacentral:rRNA from 1 species